rnacentral:rRNA from 1 species
UACGUAGGGGGCAAGCGUUGUCCGGAAUCAUUGGGCGUAAAGCGCGUGUAGGCGGCUCGGUAAGUCCGCUCUGAAAGUCCAGGGCUCAACCCUGGGAUGCGGGUGGAUACUGCCGGGCUCGAGUCCGGAAGAGGCGAGUGGAAUUCCCGGUGUAGCGGUGAAAUGCGCAGGAAUAUCGGGAGGAACACCAAUGGCGAAGGCAGCUCGCUGGGACGUGACUGACGCUGAGACGCGAAAGCGUGGGGAGCAAACAGGG